rnacentral:rRNA from 1 species
UGGGGAAUUUUGGACAAUGGGGGAAACCCUGAUCCAGCCAUCCCGCGUGUGCGAUGAAGGCCUUCGGGUUGUAAAGCACUUUUGGCAGGAAAGAAACGUCGCGGGUUAAUACCCCGCGAAACUGACGGUACCUGCAGAAUAAGCACCGGCUAACUACGUGCCAGCAGCCGCGGUAAUACGUAGGGUGCAAGCGUUAAUCGGAAUUACUGGGCGUAAAGCGUGCGCAGGCGGUUCGGAAAGAAAGAUGUGAAAUCCCAGAGCUUAACUUUGGAACUGCAUUUUUAACUACCGGGCUAGAGUGUGUCAGAGGGAGGUGGAAUUCCGCGUGUAGCAGUGAAAUGCGUAGAUAUGCGGAGGAACACCGAUGGCGAAGGCAGCCUCCUGGGAUAACACUGACGCUCAUGCACGAAAGCGUGGGGAGCAAACAGGAUUAGAUACCCUGGUAGUCCACGCCCUAAACGAUGUCAACUAGCUGUUGGGGCCUUCGGGCCUUGGUAGCGCAGCUAACGCGUGAAGUUGACCGCCUGGGGGAGUACGGUCGCAAGAUUAAAACUUAAAUGAAUUGACGGGGGUCAUAGCUGUUUCCU